CUGGGACGCGCUCGCAUACCCGGAAGUUCACUUCACAACAUCAACUGGCGAGGGGGAAAAGAGGGGAGGACACGGAGAAAAGAAGUAGCUUUAAUUAAAACACCAAAGUGACUUUUCCAAACAACCUUUUGGAGUAAUUUCAGGCGUCCUUUUAACAUUUUCAAACUCACUUGCAAAUGUUCUGAGAGCAGAUAGUGUCACAUGGAGGCUAUUGUAAAGAACGUGGAGCGGACCACGGAGCUACUCGCUGUGUCGCAGACAGAGACGGUGCAGCGGUGGGACAAACAGACCCUGGACAGAGCCUUCCAAUGGACUCAGUACUGCCAACACGUCUACACAAGGUUCCAUGCAAAUCCGACCGUCACGGACAUCUUGGAAAAACAACUACAGGUGACAAACGAAAGUUUACGAACAACUUUUCAUGGGUAUAGGGACAUCACGUUUUCUGACCUGUCGCAGUGUCAACACUUGCUGCUUGUGGGGUUACUAAACAACGCCGCUGUUCCGAGCUCAGUCGUCAGACUACUUUUCGACACUAUAACUGUUGGAGGUAAAUAUAAGGACGCCACCGGUCAUUGCACUGAACUCAUAGAAGUGAAAUCAGCAUGUAAAGUCUUAAGCGCCAUUAAUUUGAAACGCAGUACGUCAUUUCCCGGUCCGGAUGCUGACGUGUUAGGCAUGACAAUGAUGGAGAUGUUGGAUAUUCUGCUCUCUCCAGCUACUGGCGGGUCCAAGGUGGGCCUAGCAGAGAAGUUAUUGGACAACGUCUUACAAACCUGUGGUGAAAAUGAAAACUUCCCAGAAGUCGUUGCUGCUGCUCUCCUGUCAAGGAAAGACGACAAAACGGCAACAAAAAUGGCUCCAGAAGGAGUUUCAUUCCACUUUAUCCUGGAUUGGCUGCAGCAACACCACAGUUUACUCCAUAAUAUGUGUUCCACGUUGCCUAUUGGUCUUUUGAUGGACCUCCACCAGCAGUCGGUGAGGUUUAGAGUGACCUACGGUAACAUGUUGAAGCAAUGGGGGUCACAGUUGGAGUAUGACGUGGGAGAAGGAGAGUGGGUUCAAAUGUAUACCACCGACGGGGUGUCGUUCAAGACACUGUCUGACCAUUAUAGGUCGUUGCUAGGGGCUUGUCCGUCAACAAAGGAGGACGUUGAGAGAGAGCUGACAGAACUGAAGGUUGCAGAUGGGGACUUUGAUGUUAGAGGUCUGAGUGUUUGGGGUGACCUCCUCUCUGAGCUGAACACGGUCUGAGGGUUUGGGGUGACCUCCUCUCUGAGCUGAACACGGUCUGAGUGUUUGGGGUGACCUCCUCUCUGAGCUGAACACGGUCUGAGUGUUUGGGGUGACCUCCUCUCUGAGCUGAACAAGGUCUGAGUGUUUGGGAUGACCUCUCUGAGCUGAACAAGGUCUGAGUGUUUGGGAUGACCUCUCUGAGCUGAACACGGUCUGAGUGUUUGGGGUGACCUCCUCUCUGAGCUGAACACGGUCUGAGUGUUUGGGGUGACC